rnacentral:lncRNA from 7 species
AUGCAUUUAUUCCCUUGCACACAAAAUCAAACAAAGUUUUUAAGUUCUAUGGACUUGGAGCAACGACAGAUAUAUUUGAAUACCUACUCAAACAAUUUGCACUAAGAAGAAUAGCACACUCAACUAAAUAUUGAGUUCCCUUGGGUUGAGCUCUAGCCAGCUACUACAACUACAGCAAUGGCAAGACCAAGGGCUGCUGAUUUACCACGUCCACGAGAAGGAAGCAAAGCAA